AUUGAACGCUGGCGGCAGGCCUAACACAUGCAAGUCGAGCGGGGUUUUCGGACCUAGCGGCGGACGGGUGAGUAAUGCGUAGGAAGCUACCCGAUAGAGGGGGAUACCAGUUGGAAACGACUGUUAAUACCGCAUAAUGUCUACGGACCAAAGUGUGGGACCUUCGGGCCACAUGCUAUCGGAUGCGCCUACGUGGGAUUAGCUAGUUGGUGGGGUAAUGGCUCACCAAGGCGACGAUCCCUAGCUGGUUUGAGAGGAUGAUCAGCCACACUGGAACUGAGACACGGUCCAGACUCCUACGGGAGGCAGCAGUGGGGAAUAUUGGACAAUGGGCGCAAGCCCGAUCCAGCCAUGCCGCGGGUGUGAAGAAGGCCUUCGGGUUGUAAAGCACUUUCAGUAGGGAGGAAGCGUUGUGUGUUAAUAGUACACAGCGUUGACGUUACCUACAGAAGAAGCACCGGCUAACUCUGUGCCAGCCGCCGCGGUAACAC
rnacentral:rRNA from 1 species